rnacentral:rRNA from 1 species
UUCUAAUAGAAAUUUUUAUUAGUAAAAUCUGCUCAAUGAAUCUUUCAAUAGCCGCAACAUUGUUGUGCUAAGGUAGCAUAAUCAUUUGUCUUUUAAUUAAAGACUAGAACGAAAGAUUUAACUUUUAAUUUCUUUAAAAACUUUAAUUUUUAAAUUAAUUUAAAUAUUAAAAAAUAUUUAUAUAUAAAAAAGACGAUAAGACCCUUUUGAACUUAACUUAAGUUAAACUGGGGUAGUUUAUUAAUAAAAACUUUAAGAAAUUUUUUUUUAAAAGAUCCAAUCAAUUUGACUAUUUAAAUAAGUUACCAUAGGGAUAACAGCGUAAUAUUUUUCUAAAGAUCUUAUUUAAAAAAUUGUUUACGACCUCGAUGUUGAAUAAUUUCCUAUUAAACGCAAUAGUUUAACAAGAAAGUCUGUUCGACUUUUAAUUAAUUACA